GAUGAACGCUGGCGGCGUGCCUAAUACAUGCGAGUCGAGCGAACAGACGAGGAGCUUGCUCCUUCGACGUUAGCGGCGGACGGGUGAGUAACACGUAGGUAACCUACCUAUAAGACUGGGAUAACUUCGGGAAACCGGAGCUAAUACCGGAUAAUAUUUCGAACCGCAUGGUUCGAUAGUGAAAGAUGGCUUUGCUAUCACUUAUAGAUGGACCUGCGCCGUAUUAGCUAGUUGGUAAGGUAACGGCUUACCAAGGCAACGAUACGUAGCCGACCUGAGAGGGUGAUCGGCCACACUGGAACUGAGACACGGUCCAGACUCCUACGGGAGGCAGCAGUAGGGAAUCUGCCGCAAUGGGCGAAAGCCUGACGGAGCAACGCCGCGUGAGUGAUGAAGGUCUUCGGAUCGUAAAACUCUGUUAUUAGGGAAGAACAAACGUGUAAGUAACUGUGCACGUCUUGACGGUACCUAAUCAGAAAGCCACGGCUAACUACGUG
rnacentral:rRNA from 1 species